rnacentral:rRNA from 1 species
AGUUUGAUCUUGGCUCAGGAUGAACGCUAGCGGCAGGCUUAACACAUGCAAGUCGAGGGGCAGCGCGUUGGUAGCAAUACCGAUGGCGGCGACCGGCGCAAGGGUGCGUAACACGUGAGUAACAUGCCCGUUACAGAGGGAUAAGCGAUGGAAACGUCGUCUAAUACCUCAUGAGGUUUAAGGGAGGCAUCUUUUUUAGAUCAAAUUUACGGAGGUAACGGAUUGGCUCGCGGGACAUUAGCUAGAUGGUGAGGUAACGGCUCACCAUGGCGACGAUGUCUAGGGGUUCUGAGAGGAAGGUCCCCCACAUUGGAACUGAGACACGGUCCAAACUCCUACGGGAGGCAGCAGUGAGGAAUAUUGGACAAUGGUCGGAAGACUGAUCCAGCCAUGCCGCGUGAAGGAAGGCGGUCCUAUGGAUUGUAAACUUCUUUUGUACGGGAGCAAUAAGACAAUCGCGAUUGUCGAUGAGAGUACCGUACGAAUAAGCAUCGGCUAACUCCGUGCCAGCAGCCGCGGUAAUACGGAGGAUGCGAGCGUUAUCCGGAUUUAUUGGGUUUAAAGGGUGCGUAGGCGGACUAUUAAGUCAGCGGUGAAAAGUUAAGGCUAAACCUUAAUCGUGCCGUUGAAACUGGUAGACUAGGAUGCGGAUGAUGUAACAGGAAUGUGUAGUGUAGCGGUGAAAUGCAUAGAUAUUACACAGAACACCAAUUGCGAAGGCAUGUUACAAAGCCGCGAUUGACGCUGAGGCACGAAAGUGCGGGGAUCAAACAGGAUUAGAUACCCUGGUAGUCCGCACAGUAAACGAUGAUAACUAGCUGUUGGCGAUAGAAUGUCAGUGGCGGAGCGAAAGCGAUAAGUUAUCCACCUGGGGAGUACGACCGCAAGGUUGAAACUCAAAGGAAUUGACGGGGGCCCGCACAAGCGGAGGAACAUGUGGUUUAAUUCGAUGAUACGCGAGGAACCUUACCCGGGCUCGAACGGCAGAUGAACGACACAGAGAUGUGAAGGUCAGCAAUGACAUCUGUCGAGGUGCUGCAUGGUUGUCGUCAGCUCGUGCCGUGAGGUGUCGGCUUAAGUGCCAUAACGAGCGCAACCCUUGUUGUCAGUUACCAGCGGGUAGAGCCGGGGACUCUGACGAGACUGCCACCGUAAGGUGAGAGGAAGGGGGGGAUGACGUCAAAUCAGCACGGCCCUUACGUCCGGGGCGACACACGUGUUACAAUGGUGGGUACAGAGGGUAUCGACAUAGUGAUAUGGAGGGAAUCUCAAAAACCCAUCUCAGUUCGGAUCGUAGUCUGCAACUCGACUACGUGAAGUUGGAUUCGCUAGUAAUCGCGCAUCAGCCAUGGCGCGGUGAAUACGUUCCCGGGCCUUGUACACACCGCCCGUCAAGCCAUGGAAGCUGGGGGUGCUUGAAGUUCGUGACCGAGAGGAGCGACCUAGGGCAAAACUAGUAACUGGGGCUAAGUCGUAACAAGGUAGCCGUACCGGAAGGUGUGGCUGGAACACCUCCUU